GUUUUUAAAACCAAUUCUGCCAGUUUCCUUCUUCUGAUUGGACUCUGUUAUCCACUUACAGUUCAUGUAAUUAAUGAUAAGGACAGUUUUGCUGGAUAUAGAAUUCUUGGAUGGCAGCACUCCAAAUGUGUCAUCUCGUUGUCACACCGUCCUCAUGGUUUUGAUAAGAAAUCAGCCGUUAAUUUAAUUGAGGAGUUCAUAUACAUGAUGCAAGGAAGAUGAGUAGUUCAGUUGAUGCCAAAAUAUCCAGCUGUGCUUAUGGUAAAGUAGAG